GUGCCAGCCGCCGCGGUAAAACGUAGGUUCCGAGCGUUAUCCGGAUUUACUGGGCGUAAAGCGCGUUCAGGCGGUUUGGCAAGUCGGGCAUGAAAUCCUUCGGCUCAACCGGGGGAGGUUGUCCGAUACUGCUGAACUGGAGGGCAGUAGAGGGUGGUGGAAUUCCGGGUGUAGUGGUGAAAUGCGUAGAGAUCCGGAGGAACACCAGUGGCGAAAGCGGCCACCUGGACUGCACCUGACGCUGAAACGCGAAAGCUAGGGGAGCGAACGGGAUUAGAAACCCGUGUAGUCC
rnacentral:rRNA from 1 species